GGUCAGGGGAGCUGGGUAACAGGAGAGCUGCCUCCUCAGAACAUUCAUAUUUGAAUUUUAACUUUUAUUAGGCUAACUUAAGUAAACAUCUAUUAUAUUGCCCCAUAGAGAUUUCGUUAUAUUAAACCACAGAGGCUUAUCUGGGGAAAAAAAAUCAAAGAGAAAUUAAGACAUUCCUGAUAAAUAACAACUGAGAGAAUUCUUCACUAGCCGACUUGCCCUAAAAGAAAUAACAGAGAGUCCUUCAGGCACAAAUGGAAGAACACCAAACAGUAAUUCAAAUCCACAUGAAGAAAAACAGAGCACUGAUAAAGGCGCCUAUAGAGGGUCUUCAAUCUAGUUCCACAACAGAGAGAACUGAGAAUCUUGGACAGCUUUGAGCAGAACACCACUGAGAGGAUGAAAGAACUAAAGAACGAGAUCAGUGAUGGCAGGUUACACACACCAGGAAUCUUCCUGCUGACGUAGGAGGCUGAGGGGAGAACGGGACCUCAUUUUCCACUGAAGGAAGGAAUGAGAAAUUUUUUGAGUGAACUCCAUGUGCCGGGCACUAUGUUUAGC
rnacentral:lncRNA from 1 species